rnacentral:SRP_RNA from 1 species
GGUCGGUGCUCUCGCAACGCUGGAUGAGGAACCCCGCCAGGCCCGGAAGGGAGCAACGGUACUCGUCGACGCGUGUGCCGGGGUGUCGCUGGCCGGG